GUGAUGAGGACCCCGAUCGCCUAAGACGUGAGGAGUGGUAUUACUUCUGA
rnacentral:snoRNA from 1 species